AGAAACAGCUCAAUAAUAAUCUGAGUUUGUUUUGUUAGAAUUCAUCAGCACUUGGGAACUUGAAAUUUUGUUUCUUAAAUAUUUUUGUUGGCCUAUGCAGCAAUCAUGGCAGGAAACCUCACUGCAAUCGCUGUAACCUCCAAUCCUCCCCUUUGCUCAACACCUAUGUACUUCCUCCUUGGAAAUCUCUCCUUUCUCAGUAUGUUUAUUUCCACAGUCACAAUCUCUAAGAUGGUCCAGACGUUCUCAGGGAGAAUAAAACCACUUCCUCAUGGGGCUGUAUGGCUCAGAUCUCCACUUCUUAGGAGGCAGUGAGAUGACUCUUCUCAUAUUUAUGGCUGUUGAUCAGCACAUUGCAAUAUGCAGACCUCUUCACUGCAGAACCAUCACGAACUGCAGGGUACUCAUGGCCACUCAUGGGCUCUGUGCUGCUAUCACGGGCUGUUGGUUUUGUGCAUACUAUAAGCCAGAUUGUUUUUAUUAUCACCUUGCCCUUCUGUGGCCCCAGUGUGGUGGACAAUUUAUUUUGAGACCUUCCUCUAGUUCUGAAGCUUGCCUGCACUGAGACUUAUGAUCUGGAGUUGCUGGUAAUUGCUAAAAGUGGACAGUUGUCUUUCAUCUGCUUCAUAGUCUUGCUCAUUUUCUACACUAUUAUUCUGGUAACUGUGCAGCAUCGAUCCUCUGAUGCACUCUCCAAGGCUCUGUCCACACUGUCUGCUCAUAUCACUGCAGUCACUCUAUUUUUAUGAGCCAUGUGUCUACAUUUACACUUGGCCAUUUAGGAGCUUUUCAGUGGAUACAUUUCUUUCUGUGUUUUAUUCAGUUACACCCUUACUGAACCCCAUUACUUACAGUCUGAGAUGAAAGCAUCUAUACAUCAACUGAGGACCCAACACAUCAUCUCCAGACAA
rnacentral:lncRNA from 1 species